rnacentral:lncRNA from 1 species
UUGAUAUUUGGUAUGCUAGUUGGAUAUAGAAUAAACUUAAUGCGUGCCAUUUUUUGGGGCAUUAUAUUGAAGAAAAAGGGUCUAAUAGGCCCAAGACCACAAUUAAUGACCCCACUUUUCGUUGUUCACGAAUAUAGUUCCCUUUAAUUAAAGUGUAUUUCUUCUUAAAUUUUUUUCUUUCCUUUUCUCAAACAUUUCUUAGCUUU